UUAGGGGGGAAACCUGCGGAGGGACAUUA
rnacentral:rRNA from 1 species